AUAAUUUCCAGACAUCAGACUCGGCAGGGGAAGAUGUAACUGGAAGAUGACCUGGCUUCUGGGACAGAUGAAGAAGAAAAGAAAAGGAAAGACAACAUAGAAGACGUCUAUUGCACCAAAAGCCAGAAGAAGACCAGGACAAGAGGACGGGACUGCGAUAUUGGUGGCACCAGGGGAGCAGUGAAAGGCAGCCACAGAGGAAGACACUUGCUUUACAAUCUAACUACCCUGCGGUCUUCUUGUCUCUUUGCCAAUGGAAACCUUGGCCUGAUUUGUGCAAACCAAGUGACCUAAAUAGACAGUGG